ACUCCUACGGGAGGCAGCAGUGGGGAAUCUUGCACAAUGGAGGAAACUCUGAUGCAGCGAUGCCGCGUGAGUGAAGAAGGCCCUUGGGUUGUAAAGCUCUUUCGUCGGGGAAGAAAAUGACUGUACCCGNAAUAAGAAGNCCGGCUAAANUCNGG
rnacentral:rRNA from 1 species